CGACAGGCUUAACACAUGCAAGUCGAGGGGCAGCGGUGGUGAAGGCUUGCCUUUACCAGCCGGCGACCGGCGCACGGGUGAGUAACACGUAUGCAACCUGCCUGCCACAGCCGGAUAAUCGGGAGAAAUUCCGUCUAAUACGGCAUAAUGCAUCGACGGGACAUCCUGUUGGUGCCAAAGGUUGAUUCCGGUGGCGGAUGGGCAUGCGUCGCAUUAGUUAGUUGGCGGUGUAACGGACCACCAAGACGACGAUGCGUAGGGGUUCUGAGAGGAAGGUCCCCCACACUGGUACUGAGACACGGACCAGACUCCUACGGGAGGCAGCAGUGAGGAAUAUUGGUCAAUGGGCGGGAGCCUGAACCAGCCAAGUCGCGUGAGGGAUGACGGCCCUAUGGGUUGUAAACCUCUUUUGCCGGGGAGCAAAGUGCCGCACGUGUGCGGUUUGGAGAGUACCCGGAGAAAAAGCAUCGGCUAACUCCGUGCCAGCAGCCGCGGUAAUACGGAGGAUGCGAGCGUUAUCCGGAUUUAUUGGGUUUAAAGGGUGCGUAGGCGGACGCUUAAGUCAGCGGUAAAAUUGCGGGGCUCAACCUCGUCGAGCCGUUGAAACUGGGUGCCUUGAGUGGGCGAGAAGUACGCGGAAUGCGUGGUGUAGCGGUGAAAUGCAUAGAUAUCACGCAGAACUCCGAUUGCGAAGGCAGCGUACCGGCGCCCAACUGACGCUGAAGCACGAAGGCGUGGGUAUCGAACAGGAUUAGAUACCCUGGUAGUCCACGCAGUAAACGAUGAAUGCUAGUUGUCCGGGGCGAUUGAGUUCUGGGUGACACAGCGAAAGCGUUAAGCAUUCCACCUGGGGAGUACGCCGGCAACGGUGAAACUCAAAGGAAUUGACGGGGGCCCGCACAAGCGGAGGAACAUGUGGUUUAAUUCGAUGAUACGCGAGGGACCUUACCCGGGCUCAAACGCAGGAGGGAUGUUUUUGAAAGGAGGCAGCCAGCAAUGGUCUCCUGCGAGGUGCUGCAUGGUUGUCGUCAGCUCGUGCCGUGAGGUGUCGGCUUAAGUGCCAUAACGAGCGCAACCCCUACCUACAGUUGCCAUCGCGUGAUGGCGGGCACUCUGUGGGGACUGCCUGCGCAAGCAGUGAGGAAGGCGGGGAUGACGUCAAAUCAGCACGGCCCUUACGUCCGGGGCGACACACGUGUUACAAUGGCAGGUACAGCGGGAAGCCACCCGGCGACGGGGCGCGGAACCCGAAAACCUGUCUCAGUUCGGAUUGGAGUCUGCAACCCGACUCCAUGAAGCUGGAUUCGCUAGUAAUCGAGCAUCAGCCACGGCGCGGUGAAUACGUUCCCGGGC
rnacentral:rRNA from 1 species